rnacentral:rRNA from 1 species
UACGUAGGUGGCAAGCGUUGUCCGGAUUUAUUGGGUUUAAAGGGUGCGUAGGCGGUCCUAUAAGUCAGUUGUGAAAUACGGCAGCUUAACUGUCGAGGUGCAAUUGAUACUGCAGGACUUGAGUACAGACGAGGUAGGCGGAAUUGAUUGUGUAGCGGUGAAAUGCAUAGAUACAAUCAAGAACUCCGAUUGCGUAGGCAGCUAACUAGGCUGUAACUGACGCUGAGGCACGAAAGCGUGGGGAGCGAACAGG